rnacentral:rRNA from 1 species
UGGUGGAGUGAUUUGUCUGGUUAAUUCCGAUAACGAGCGAGACCUUAACCUGCUAAAUAGCCAGGCCGGCUUUUGCUGGUCGCCGGCUUCUUAGAGGGACUGUCAGCGUCUAGCUGACGGAAGUUUGAGGCAAUAACA